AUUUUUAAUUCCUAGUAAAGUUCUUUGCCAAGCUUAUUGGGAAGUCCGGUGCAAGUCCGGCACAGCCCCGCUACUGUAAGGGGAUACGAAAGCCAGAUUCUCAGGCAGCAGGCCAAAGCUGGCCAAGGGAUGAAGAU
rnacentral:ncRNA from 2 species